GACGAACGCUGGCGGCGUGCCUAAUACAUGCAAGUAGAACGCUUAAGGAGGAGCUUGCUUCUCCGUAUGAGUUGCGAACGGGUGAGUAACGCGUAGGUAACCUGCCUGGUAGCGGGGGAUAACUGUUGGAAACGAUAGCUAAUACCGCAUAAGAGUAGAUGUCGCAUGACAUUUUCUUAAAAGGUGCAACUGCACCACUACCAGAUGGACCUGCGUUGUAUUAGCUAGUUGGUGAGGUAACGGCUCACCAAGGCAACUAUACAUAGCCGACCUGAGAGGGAGGUCGGGCACCGUGGGACCGAGACACGGCCCAAAAUCCUUCGGGAGGCAGCAGUAGGGAAACUUCGGCAAUGGACCGAAGUCUGACCGCGCCACGCCGCGUGAGUGAAGAAGGUUUUCGGAUCGUAAAGCUCUGUUGUAAGAGAAGAACGAGUGUGAGAGUGGAAAGUUCACACUGUGACGGUAUCUUACCAGAAAGGGACGGCUAACUACGUG
rnacentral:rRNA from 1 species